rnacentral:rRNA from 1 species
CCUUCAUGAAGCUGGAAUUGCUGUAAUGGCAGGUCAGCAUACUGCCGUGAAUACGUUCCCGGGCCUUGUACACACCGCCCGUCACACCAUGAGAGUUGGAAAUACCCGAAGCCUGUGAGCUAACUGUAAAGAGGCAGCAGUCGAAGGUAGAGCCAAUGAUUGGGGUGAAGUCGUAACAAGGUAUC